AGCCCUGGGGUGUUACACGUUAGAUUGCAAAUCUAAAGAAGUAGGCUAGUCGCCUACCGGGGCUU